UAGGGAAUCUUCCGCAAUGUGCGAAAGCCUGACGGAGCAACGCCGCGUGAGUGAUGAAGGUCUUCGGAUCGUAAAACUCUGUUAUUAGGGAAGAACAAAUGUGUAAGUAACUAUGCACGUCUUGACGGUACCUAAUCAGAAAGCCACGGCUAACUACGUUUCAGCAGCCGCGGUAAUACGUAGGUGGCAAGCGUUAUCCGGAAUUAUUGGGCGUAAAGCGCGCGUAGGCGGUUUUUUAAGUCUGAUGUGAAAGCCCACGGCUCAACCGUGGAGGGUCAUUGGAAACUGGAAAACUUGAGUGCAGAAGAGGAAAGUGGAAUUCCAUGUGUAGCGGUGAAAUGCGCAGAGAUAUGGAGGAAAACCAGUGGCGAAGGCGACUUUCUGGUCUGUAACUGACGCUGAUGUGCGAAAGCGUGGGGAUCAAACAGG
rnacentral:rRNA from 1 species